UCUUCAUGCUGUGCAGCUGAAGCCACAUUGUACUCUUAUGAAUAUACUACUUCAUUACAGGCUCUCGGGAUCAACCCCAUCCAUCCAUCCAUCCAUCCGAGGUCGGGUCGCGGGGGCAGUAGCCUAAGCAGAAAAGCCCAGACUUCCUUCUCCCAAGCCACUUCGUCCGGCUCCUCCCGGGGGGAUCCCGAGGCGUUCCCAGGCCAGACAUCAAUCAAUCAAUCUAUUAUUUACUUAUAUAGCCCUGAAUCACCAGUGUCUCAAAGGGCUGCACGAGCCACAACGACAUCCUCGGCUCAGAUUCCACAUCAGUGCAAGGAAAAACUCAACCCAAUGGGAUGACAAUGAGAAACCUUGGAGGGGACCGCAGAUGUGGUAAAAGAAAAAAUAUGAUGCGAUGCAUUCAAGCGCCUGUCCGAUAAUGGGAGUUAUUUGGGAUUUACAGAGAGAGAGAAGGAUGGAUCUGGCAUCUGCGCGCCGCACGCCGUGUCUGAUGUCACGCAACAUCUGCUUCCACAAGCGCACCACUUCACUCGCCAUCUGCCCCUUGUUUGCAGCAACACUGGAGUCGGCGCAGCAGCCGGGACGAGAGACGUUGUUGGAGUUGAAGCCAGAGAGAGACACACGCCCGGAGACGAACACAUAUUGCUGGAAAGCAAGCCACUCCCGGGUGUUUAUGAAAAAUAAAAGACUUGAUUCACACUGUACACCGUGCUCCCGAAGAUCUGUCGGCCAGGAGAACCCACACAAGAGGGAAACCUCCACAAUAACACAUGUUUUCAGUUAUUUCCCCUUUUUUUGUUAAGUACAUAACUCCACAUGUGUUCAUGCAUAGUUUUGAUGCCUUCAGUGACAAUCUACAAUAAAGAAAACACAUUGAAUGAGAAGGUGUGUCCAAACGUUAGGCCUGUACUGUAUAUACAUCAUAUUGAUGUAAAUACAUCAUAUCAAUGGGACUACAUAAUAUUACUGUACUUACAGUACGUCAUCAAUGUAACUACAGAAUAUAUCAUGUAACUACAUCAUUUUACUGUACUUACAGUACAUCACAUCAAUGUAUACAACAUCAUAUAAAUAAACUGCAACAAAAAACAGUGCAAUUAACAGUGCAAUACAUUUUAAAGGUGCAAUAUACACAUCACAUCUUUCAUAUAAUUGACAUUAUUACCGUUUUUCUUCAUUUUUAAAUUUUUUUUCAUAACAUGGUCACUACUAACUAUUUUAUUUUGUUAUAUUCUUAUUGUUACCGUUGUAUUUUUUAUUCUUAUUGUUACUUUUUAUUUUUAUUCUUUUUGUUAUAUUUUCCAUUUUAUUUCCAUCUAUACUUCCAUUAUUAACUUUUUUAAAUUAUUAUUAUUAUAUAUUAUCUUAAUUCUGUACACUGCUGCUGGAAUUUUAAUUUUCCCGAGGGAACUCUCCUGAAGGAAUCAAUACAGUACUAUCUAUCUAUCUAU